GAGUUUGAUCCUGGCUCAGGAUGAACGCCGGCGGUGUGCCUAAUACAUGCAAGUCGUACGCACUGGCCCAACUGGUUGAUGGUGCUUGCACCUGAUCGACGAUGGAUCACCAGUGAGUGGCGGACGGGUGAGUAACACGUAGGUAACCUGCCCUGUACAGGGGAUAACAAUCAGAAAUGACUGCUAAUACCGCAUAAGACCACAGCACCGCAUGGUGCAGGGGUAAAAAACUCCGGUGGUACAGGAUGGACCCGCGUCUGAUUAGCUGGUUGGUGAGGUAACGGCUCACCAAGGCGACGAUCAGUAGCCGGCUUGAGAGAGUGAACGGCCACAUUGGGACUGAGACACGGCCCAAACUCCUACGGGAGGCAGCAGUGGGGAAUAUUGCACAAUGGGGAAACCCUGAUGCAGCAACGCCGCGUGAGUGAAGAAGUAUUUCGGUAUGUAAAGCUCUAUCAGCAGGGAAGAAAGUGACGGUACCUGACUAAGAAGCCCCGGCUAAC
rnacentral:rRNA from 1 species